rnacentral:snoRNA from 1 species
AGACCAUGAUGAGGACACUCUAAAAGGAUGUCUUUGAAACGUUCCAUGCAUCAAGAAAAUGAUUCAUUGGGUCACUGGUGAAACUGGAGAAUGUGGUUCCUAAGUUU